UGAUGGCGAGUGGCGAACGGGUGAGUAACGCGUAGGAAUAUACCUUGAAGUUGGGGAUAACUUGGGGAAACUCAAGCUAAUACCGGAUAAUGUCUGAGGACGAAAGCUGGGGACCGUAAGGCCUGGCGCUUUAAGAUUAGCCUGCGUCCGAUUAGCUAGUUGGUAAGGUAAUGGCUUACCAAGGCAACGAUCAAUAGCUGUUCUUAGAGGAAGACCAGCCACAUUGGGACUGAGACACGGCCCAAACUCC
rnacentral:rRNA from 1 species